UUGGAGGGCAAGUCUGGUGCCAGCAGCCGCGGUAAUUCCAGCUCCAAUAGCGUAUAUUAAAGUUGUUGCAGUUAAAAAGCUCGUAGUUGAAUUUCGAGAUCAAAUUGUUGGUCGUGCCUUGGUACGUACUGACAUUAUUGAUUUCUCCCUUCUGAAGAACCAUGAUGUCAUUAAUUUGGUGUCAUGGGGAAUCAGGACUGUUACUUUGAAAAAAUUAGAGUGUUUAAAGCAAGCUCGCGCUUGAAUACAUUAGCAUGGAAUAAUGAAAUAGGACGUUUAAUUCUAUUUUGUUGGUUUCUAGGAUUGACGUAAUGAUUAAUAGGGAUAGUUGGGGGCAUUAGUAUUCAAUUGUCAGAGGUGAAAUUCUUGGAUUUAUUGAAGACUAACUACUGCGAAAGCAUUUGCCAAGGAUGUUUUCAUUAAUCAAGAACGAAAGUUAGGGGAUCGAAGACGAUCAGAUACCGUCGUAGUCUUAACCACGAACUAUGCCGACUAGGGAUCGGAUGAUGUUAAUUUUUUAAUGACUCAUUCGGCGCCUUACGGGAAACCAAAGUGUUUGGGUUC
rnacentral:rRNA from 1 species